UACGUAGGGCGCAAGCGUUGUCCGGAAUUAUUGGGCGUAAAGAGCUCGUAGGCGGCUUGUCACGUCGGAUGUGAAAGCCCGGGGCUUAACUCCGGGUCUGCAUUCGAUACGGGCUAGCUAGAGUGUGGUAGGGGAGAUCGGAAUUCCUGGUGUAGCGGUGAAAUGCGCAGAUAUCAGGAGGAACACCGGUGGCGAAGGCGGGUCUCUGGGCAAUAACUGACGCUGAGGAGCGAAAGCGUGGGGAGCGAACAGG
rnacentral:rRNA from 1 species